UUCACAUCUCUGUCAGCCCCAGAACACUACCGGGGUGGUUGCAGGCCCUAGUUGGGAGGUCCUCACUGGGCGGGACCCCGAGACCUCCAUGCCAGGGAGAAUUCAAAUCUCUGUCAGCCCCAGAACACUGGCAGGGGUGGCCAGAGACCCCAGUUGGGAGGUCGCUCACUGGGCCAGACCCCGAGACCUCCAUGCCAGGGAGAAUUCAAAUCUCUGUCAGUCCCAGAAUAAAGGCGGGGGUGGCCGGAGGCCCCGGUUGGGAGGCCCCUCACUGGGCCACACCCCAAGACCUCCAUGCCAGAGAGAAUUCAAAU
rnacentral:lncRNA from 1 species